GCAGUCAGGUGACCGAGUACCAGGCCAGGCUCAAGAUUAGAUUGGGAAGUCGGACAGCUGUUUGCAUGCUGAGAGCUAAUGAGAAAGAUAUGCAGUGUGUGCUUCAAGAGCAGCAGGCCUUUGCCGUACUAUCUGUGCUGACACAUAGACACACAGGAAGAGAAGACAUUGCCUCCAAUCCUAAGUUCAAGCUGCUGUAAUGUUUGUGAGUUGAAAGGAUCCAGACAUGCCAGACCUUGACGUUAAGUCUCUGACAGAGUCAGUUUCACAGAGAAGGGAGGAGGACUCGUCACAGCAGAUGUUCAGCUGUCCCGUUGUAAACAUGAAGACUCUGGCAACAACAACGGAGAUAAGGGAAGGAAUGGAGCUUUCUGCAAAGUCCCAUGACUCACCAACAGGAUUUGCUCAUCCCUGCGCCAGCAGACCACAGAGAGUGCCUGUGAAGAACUCUGACCACAAACUGACCGUAGCGACAGGCUUCCAUGUUGGAUAUGUGCCUUCAUUACUGCUUAUUUGGAAGAUUAUAUCAUGGCAGCUCUGAAUAUGGAACAUUGUGGCAUUCACACAUAAAUGUGUGUUUUUGUUUUGUUUUAUUUUGUUUUGUUUUUUACUUUGAGUAAACAAAAAGGAAGAUGCAGCCAUGGAAUGCAGGCAUUCCAAGGAGGAAUGUCAGGUUUACAGUGGAAAAAAAAAAAAAAAAAAAAAUCAAGCUUAUGACUGAUAUUUUAAAAGAAGAAACACUAAGGCACAAGUAAACAAAUUAUUAUUUUUCUGAACAUUACAGACAACUUUAUAAAAAUAUGAACAAGCUCACAAGUCAGGACUCCAGAAAAGUGAUGAUUAGCACUUGUUCCUAAAAUGAUACAUUUUGGAGCCAAAUUAUUUUUCAUUUUAAUUAAAUUAUUUCUUAAGUAGAAAAAUUACAAAAUCGCUCUACAGUUCCUCACAACUAUGUUCCUUUUUUUUUU